rnacentral:tRNA from 2 species
GACCCUUUCGUCUAGUGGGCCCAGGACGUUGCACUCUCUGUGCAAAAACGUGAGUUCAAAUCUUACAAGGGUCGCCA